UACGAAGGGGGCUAGCGUUGCUCGGAAUCACUGGGCGUAAAGGGCGCGUAGGCGGCGCGGUAAGCGUGCGGUGAAAGUCCGGGGCUCAACCCCGGAUCGGCCGUGCGGACUGCCGGGCUUGAGCACUGUAGGGGCGGGUGGAACUCCGGGUGUAGCGGUGGAAUGCGUAGAGAUCCGGAAGAACACCGGUGGCGAAGGCGGCCCGCUGGGCAGUGACUGACGCUGAGGCGCGACAGCGUGGGGAGCAAACAGG
rnacentral:rRNA from 1 species